rnacentral:tRNA from 1 species
GGGCGCUUAGCUCAGUUGGUAGAGCAUCUCGUUUACACCGAGGAGGUCAGGAGUUCGAAUCUCUUAGCGCCCACCA